rnacentral:lncRNA from 1 species
GUAUUUAAAACGCUAUGUGAAUAAAAUGGACAGAAACAGUCAAGUGAAAUUAAAUAGAUCCUUAAGGACUAAUGAAGCUUUUUGUUCUUUGUGGUCUAUCAGAUGGAAGAGGCACUUCCAGGUCCCUAUGAUUUACUUGGAAAAGUCCUCAUGCUUAUUGUGAAGAAGGCUCCAAAAGGUAAACUAUUUCUAAUAUCUGAAGUCAAAACCUAUAAGGAAUAGAUGGAACCAAGGUUGCUCAUAGAUGGUGUGGAAAUUCAACAUCUUUUUAUGAUAGAAAGCUCCCAAAAAUUGGGUAUAGAUGGAAUGUACCUCAAUAUAAUAAAUGCCAAAUAAGACAAAUUCACAG